rnacentral:rRNA from 1 species
CAGUAGCCGCGGGAAUACGUAGGUGGCAAGCGUUGUCCGGAAUUAUUGGGCGUAAAGCGCGCGCAGGCGGCCUAUCCGGUCUGUCUUAAAAGUUCGGGGCUCAACCCCGUGAUGGGAUGGAAACUAGUAGGCUAGAGUAUCGGAGAGGAAAGCGGAAUUCCUAGUGUAGCGGUGAAAUGCGUAGAUAUUAGGAAGAACACCAGUGGCGAAGGCGGCUUUCUGGACGAAAACUGACGCUGAGGCGCGAAAGCCAGGGGAGCGAACGGGAUUAGAUACCCCCGUAGUCCCUGUCUCUUAUACC